UGGGGAAUAUUGCACAAUGGGGGAAACCCUGAUGCAGCGACGCCGCGUGAGCGAUGAAGGCUUUCGAGUCGUAAAGCUCUGUCCUAUGGGAAGAUAAUGACGGUACCAUAGAAGAAAGCCCCGGCUAAUUACGUGCCAGCAGCCGCGGUAAUACGUAAGGGGCGAGCGUUGUCCGGAAUUAUUGGGCGUAAAGAGUGCGUAGGCGGCAAAUUAAGUCAGAUGUGAAAACUAAGGGCUCAACCCAUAGAUUGCAUCUGAAACUGAUAUGCUUGAGUCAAGGAGAGGAAAGUGGAAUUCCUAGUGUAGCGGUGGAAUGCGUAGAUAUUAGGAGGAAUACCGGUGGCGAAGGCGACUUUCUGGCCAUAUACUGACGCUGGGGUACGAAAGCGUGGGUAGCAAACAGG
rnacentral:rRNA from 1 species